rnacentral:rRNA from 1 species
CACGCACACACGCGCGGCAUAUCAAUAAGCGGAGGAAAAGAAACUAACAAGGAUUCCCCUAGUAACGGCGAGUGAAGCGGGAAGAGCUCAAAUUUGAAAUCUUAAAGGGUUUCCCUUUACGAAUUGUAGUUUAAAGAAGUGUUUUCUGUUGAGGUUUCGGUAAAAGUUCUUUGGAAUAGGACAUCAUAGAGGGUGAGAAUCCCGUAUUUGACCUUUACUUUCCAACUUUGUGAUACACUUUCAAAGAGUCGGAUUGUUUGGGAAUGCAGUCCAAAAUGGGUGGUAAAUUUCAUCUAAAGCUAAAUAUUGGCGAGAGACCGAUAGCGAACAAGUACCGUGAGGGAAAGAUGAAAAGAACUUUGAAAAGAGAGUUAAACAGUACGUGAAAUUGUCAAAAGGGAAGCGUUUGACACCAGUGUUGUUUUUCUGAAAAUCAAUUAAAGAACUGUUUAUGCUAAGUUGUUUAGACUUUAUCAGCUAACUGUUUAGUUUUGAGCUUUUCUUUAAUGCACUUUUCAGUUAACAAGUCAACAUCAAUUUCUUUUGCUGUAAAAAAGCUUGAGGAAGGUGGCUUGAGAUUCGUCUUAAGUGUUUAUAGCCUCUUGCCUAUGCAGUCGGAGAGAUUGAGGUCUGCAGCGUAGAUCCUUCGGGGCUAAAUGCAUUUGUGCUAAGUUAUAGCAUUUUAUAGACAACUUGUUGACUAUGAUUUGUCUUGUAGCUUACUCGCUUAUGUUAUUUUACCUACGCUUAGGAUGUUGAUCUCUCACAGUCGAGC